rnacentral:rRNA from 1 species
CCCUUAGAUGUUCUGGGCUGCACGCGCGCUACACUGAUGCAUGCAACGAGUUUUCGACCUUGCCUGAAAAGGUUGGGUAAUCUGUUUAACAUGUGUCGUGAUGGGGAUAGACCAUUGCAAUUAUUGAUCUUCAACGAGGAAUUCCUAGUAAGCGCGAGUCAUCAGCUCGUGCUGAUUAUGUCCCUGCCCUUUGUACACACCGUCCGUCGCUCCUACCGAUUGAGUGAUCCGGUGAAUGAUUCGGACCAGCGUGCUGCUCAGAUCCUGCGCAGUGUGCUGGGAAGUCUAGUGAACCUUAUCACUUAGAGGAAGGAGAAGUCGUAACA